GACGAACGCUGGCGGCGUGCUUAACACAUGCAAGUCGAACGGAAAGGCCCUGCUUUUGUGGGGUGCUCGAGUGGCGAACGGGUGAGUAACACGUGAGUAACCUGCCCUUGACUUUGGGAUAACUUCAGGAAACUGGGGCUAAUACCGGAUAGGAGCUCCUGCUGCAUGGUGGGGGUUGGAAGGUUUCGGCGGUUGGGGAUGGACUCGCGGCUUAUCAGCUUGUUGGUGGGGUAGUGGCUUACCAAGGCUUUGACGGGUAGCCGGCCUGAGAGGGUGACCGGCCACAUUGGGACUGAGAUACGGCCCAGACUCCUACGGGAGGCAGCAGUGGGGAAUAUUGCACAAUGGGCGGAAGCCUGAUGCAGCAACGCCGCGUGCGGGAUGACGGCCUUCGGGUUGUAUACCGCUUUCGCCUGUGACGAAGCGUGAGUGACGGUAAUGGGUAAAGAAGCACCGGCUAACUACGUG
rnacentral:rRNA from 1 species